UAGUUAGGGUGAUGGAUUGUGUCUCGUCGACCAUUGGAGAGAGGGGCCUGGCAGCCUGGUUGACUCCUCUUCGUCCAAUGCCCUCCGGCGCCGCGCACGACGUGCGUUCCUGCAGCCGCCAAAACCUAGCAGCGCCUGAAAAAAAUCCCCUCCACCGCCGCACCCUCUCCUCUCCUCCUCUCUCUUCCGCCUCCCUCCACCUUCCCGGCUCUCCACCACACAUCGGUAGUAAGAUGGCGGUGGCGCCGGCAGCGAGCAUGGGAGCGACAGUAGCGCCUGGACGCCAUGAGCUAGCUGAGGUGGUCGAUGGUGAGGAACGGCUGCGCUCAACGUCGUCCUCCAACCCAUGGCUGCCGGCGCAACCAAAUCGGCCAUGGCAAGGAAGGCCGAGAUCUGGGACGGUGCGCCUUGACCUCGCCUUCCUCUUCCACCCCCAGUCCCCCACCGACUGCCACCAAGCACGGAGAUAGAUGCGGCUACGCAGUGGCAGUGGCUCAUCUCUCCUCUUCGUCUCAUGGAUGAUAGCAUCGGCUGCAGCUUGAGGUGUGGAAGGGGACUUCCUCAAGAAUCUUGCCGAGAUCUGAUGAUGAAGGAAAGCAUUACCAAAAUCCCCUGAUCGAACGGGUUUCGGCCAUAACGGCCGGGAAAAGAAGCCUGGCGCCUGGCCUAAGCGUCGGCGUUGUAGAUGCCUUGAAGAAGAUCAAGGUGAUUUUUUUCUCCCUCGUGUUAAGCUUUGUUCUCUCAUUUUGAUGCUAUUAUUUGUGAUUGAUGUAAACAUGAGGAAGAUAAGAGAUUACGACAAAGCUAAAUGAGAUUUGUGAUGAAAAAUAUAUAUUAUUUCUUUGUUUAGUUACAGAUCUUGAUUGAACUAUUGAUUCUGUAUUGUUUUCCUUUCCUAAAGGAAGAUGCUGAGUGAUGUAACAUCUUCAAAGAAGAGAAAAUCUGCAUUUCAUUCGUGUGCUUUCAGUUAUGGUGGAUUUGUGUUUUCAGAAAUGAGGCAACCAUACAUGUACAUAUUCACAUAUAUUUCCUUUAUCACACUUCCAGCAGACACGAGUUCUUGUGUUUUUAGAGCUUCAUGGAAACAGGAUUCUGUGCUGGCCACUUGGUCUAUUUAUUUGCAGUUAUAUUUCCUUUAUCACUCCCCACUUCCCCAGUAGUCACGAGUUCUUGUGAUGGGGUCUUUCAUGCCGAUAUAUUAGGAAUUUAUUACUGGAUUGUAGAGGGGUCCUUGUUCAGGGCAGCUACCCCAGGAGGCCAGCGACCCCCAUGUGGCCAGCGACUAAAGGCCAGAUUCAUUUUCGUGGAAGGUAACCUGCUUGACAGUAAAUUAGUGUCACAUUGGUAGUUGCUGAUCUUUUAAAAUUUGAUUAACUAAUUUGGGCGCUAACAUAUUCUAUAGUUGUCUGUUGUUUCUUAUUUGAAGGCUAUCUUUAGCUUGGACGAAAAUGAAUGGACGAGCUUCAAUCUGACGAGGAGAAAGCAAUGUUGUUGAGUUUUAAUUAAAACAGAUGGACAACCAUGUAAAAGGUAAAGAUGUUUAUGGAAGAAUAAACACCACUCAGACUAGCGAGUUCCAACUUGUUUUUUCUACGGGGCAUUAGCAAAAUAUAAAUGUGAAUAUGACAGUACAUAUUUUAUGAUAUUUGACUGUAUGUCAUCACCUAAAUUUAUACUAAUCCAGCGGAAUAACCCAACAACCAUUUAGAUUAUGCUUCUUUCAACCAAAUUAAUUAUUGACAUGUAUAUUUAUUAAGAUCAAUAAUGUCGUGUAUUUUACUUUGAAGUAUAAACGAACAGUAAAAUAUGAGAUAGUGGCCUCCUACUAGGAUAAUAACAGCAAAAAAGAUCAAUGCAAUGCACAUAUCUGAGGAUUUUUAUCCGCAGGUUGGGAUUCUGUACAUUGAUACGAUGUAUAAGAAAAACGAUUUAUUUACUUAUUGGAGAUUAGCCUUUUAGUAUAGUACUGGUUUCCAGCAAAAAAAAGUAUAUGAUUGUGAUACUUCAAGAUAUUCAUGAAAACAAGUACUCCCUCCGUCCCAAAAUACUGGUCAUCAAAAUGGAUAAAAAGGGAUGUAUUUAGAACUAAAAUACGUCUACAUACAUCUCGUUUUAUCCAUUUUGAUGACAAGUAUUUCCGGACGGAGGGAGUAUUUGAUAUGUUCACAUCUAUAUAACUACAUGCUCAUGUGUGUUUCAUCUUUUUCAUGAUCAAAUAAAGAUAUAUGUGUGGUUUCUGAUAUGUGCCGAGCAUGUUUUGGUAGGAUAUUUUCUAUGGUAAUGUUGAAAUAAAGAUAUAUUGCUUUUAAGAAAGGAGCACUAUGAAGUAUUGAAGCGAGCUGAAUAAUGUAGAAAAUAUCACAGAAUGAAACAUUAGCUGGUGUCAUCCAAACACCAUUCUGUACCUUCAGCAGUAAUGGAUCAUUCGCUUUGCUUGGUCAACCUUGCAACUAAAUCUGUAAGAUGACUUUGAAGUAUACUCUGUACCUAACAAAAAAAUCAUCCAUUUUUUAUUGAUCAGACAACAGUUGUUUUAUGUCUAUGUGUCUAUUUAUUGUUCUUAUAUGUUACAAGUUCAAAGGAGAGCAUUGUUUCAUGGAAGCAUGGGAUAACACCCGCGCCAGCGACCAGUGAAGAAAGGGGCUCAUGAACAAGAUGAAUUUUUUUCAACCAUCUUUUGUUUAUAUGGAAAGACGCUUUUGUUAAAUCAAUCUUAUCGACUUUAGUCUGUGUUAUUGUAUUCUAUCUCUUCUAUUAGAUCCAAAUUAUUAUACAAUGUAAUUGACCACUCUUACUAAGAACUGUGCACCGUGCUUAAUGCUAUCAUUAUUUUAAGUAAGCUUUAUUAUGUCA